CGNANUGGCGGCAGCCUACACAUGCAAGUCGGACGGUAGCACAGAAAAGCUUGCUCUUCGGGUGACGAGUGGCGGACGGGUGAGUAAUGUCUGGGAAACUGCCUGAUGGAGGGGGAUAACUACUGGAAACGGUAGCUAAUACCGCAUAACCUCGCAAGAGCAAAGUGGGGGACCUUCGGGCCUCACGCCAUCGGAUGUGCCCAGAUGGGAUUAGCUAGUAGGUGGGGUAACGGCUCACCUAGGCGACGAUCCCUAGCUGGUCUGAGAGGAUGACCAGCCACACUGGAACUGAGACACGGUCCAGACUCCUACGGGAGGCAGCAGUGGGGAAUAUUGCACAAUGGGCGCAAGCCUGAUGCAGCCAUGCCGCGUGUAUGAAGAAGGCCUUCGGGUUGUAACGUACUUUCAUCGGGGAGGAAGGCGGUUUUUUUCCCGUC
rnacentral:rRNA from 1 species